rnacentral:lncRNA from 1 species
UCUGACAGUAACAGCUCCCGCUCUCCUGUGAUAAUGAAGUGCUCUUGGAGUCAAGGACCUACAAAAAAGAGAAAAGUGUAACACCCAGGUUGCUUCUAUAACAUACCUAUUGUGAAUAAUUAUACUGCAUUUGACACUGACGUGGAACGGUCUCUGUGAUGCAUUGACUUGGAGUCCUUCAGGUAAGUACCCAGGGGUGGGGCAUAGCUGGAUCCCAUGGUGGGUAUAUUUCCAGGCUUUUUCUUUCCCCUAUUGGUCAAGGCUAGGAUCUUUAUAGUGCCCUGAGCUCUAGCCCCUGUGACUAUGCUGGCUUCACCUUCUACCUCCACAUUCCAUUGUAGGCAUGCUGGCUUUCUUAAGUGCUGGCAACAGAGCUGCUUUCUUCCUUCAUCAGCAUCUUUGCUUUUGCUCUCCCUCUGCCUCUAGUGUCUUUCCUUCAGACCCCCUUGAAUUAAAAUCUCAGCUGCACUUCACCUCCCUCUCUUUGUCUCACAGUCCACUUGAAUUUUCUCUGCAGCAUUAACCUCCCCAUAGGUAUUUAUGAAUUUCCCCCGUCUUCUUCAUCGUGGAAAGAGGCUGAGUCUGUGUGGUUUACUCCAGAGACUCCACCUUGUCUGAGGAACCUUUGCAUCUGUGAUGGACAUCUAUUGGUACAAAUGGAGAAGACAGAGCAUACUGGGAUACCUUUGACAGGUGAGAAGCAGGACAAACUCUGGGGUGUGCUUUACUUUCUCAAAUCAUUCCUGUGGCAUGAGACUAUGGUGUGACUUUGAAUUUGUACCCCACCCUGGCUUUCUCCACUUUUCACUUUGGUGAGUGCAACCCUUAUUGGCUUCCCCCAGGAACACUUCCUUAAUUCCUGAACUCUUGCCUCAGCACUUUUUAGGGGAAUGGGGUCCCAGC